rnacentral:rRNA from 1 species
CGGGGUGAGUAAUGUCUGGGAAACUGGCUGAUGGAGGGGGAUAACUGCUGGAAACGGUAGCUAAUACCGCAUAACGUCGCAAGACCAAAGAGGGGGACCUUCGGGCCUCUUGCCAUCGGAUGUGCCCAGAUGGGAUUAGCUAGUAGGUGGGGUAACGGCUCACCUAGGCGACGAUCCCUAGCUGGUCUGAGAGGAUGACCAGCCACACUGGAACUGAGACACGGUCCAG